rnacentral:rRNA from 1 species
UUUGGCCUACGGGGGGCAGCAGUGGGGGAUAUUGCACAAUGGGGGAAACCCUGAUGCAGCAACGCCGCGUGAGUGAAGAAGGUCUUCGGACUGUAAAACUCUGUUCUUUGUGAAGAUAACGACGGUAGCCAAGGAGAAAGCUCCGGCUAACUACGUGCCAGCAGCCGCGGUAAUACGUAGGGAGCGAGCGUUGUCCGGAUUUACUGGGUGUAAAGGGUGCGCAGGCGGCUCUGCAAGUCAGGCGUGAAAGCUAGGGGCUCAACCCCUAAACUGCGCUUGAAACUGUGGAGCUUGAGUGAAGUAGG